GGAGGGGGCUGCGCGGCCCCUACAGCCUGGAGCUGCCCUCUUACCCUGGGCAGGCCUUCAGCCGAGCUCAGGAACCCGACCCGCCCUGCGAGGCUUGGACCGCCGAGGAUUGCGGCAGGUUUGGCCAUAGCCACGGAGUAGGCGCGAGGGUCGAAUCUCCGUAAUGUUUCUGUCCCGGCCCACCUUUCCUGUGCGGGCGAAGGCCUCGGCCACCUUGCGGUUCCGCCCUCCGUAGCAGGUAGUGAUGAGAUCAGCAACACCGCAGCUCUCCAAGAAGGUGGCAGGGGACACAGGGCCACUGCAGAAGAGCUUGGUGAAGGCGAUCAUCUCCAUGAGCCCCAGUCGGAUCACGGCCGCCUUGGUGUUGUCGCCAAAGCCCAGCCCAUCACAGAAGCCAGCCCCCACGGCCACUAUAUUCUUUGAAGAGUGAAGUCACGGGUCUGUCCAGGAUCCAGAGUUCUGGCCAUCAAUCCGUCUGGGUGUCCUGGACGUCUUAUCUCCCAUUAGCCUGAGUGCUCCCCCUGGGCAUCUCCUCUUCCCCCUGGACCAACCUUUGGAGCCAGGGACAGGGAUGUCCCACAAGGGGCUAUAGGGGAAAGGAAGAAGGAAGCCCAAUGUCUGAUGGUCCUCCCCUAUUCCAGUGCAGCCAAAGCUAGCUGUGAGGAGAGCAGAUAACAUGUGAAAACGAAUCCAUCUGAAAACUCUCCUUCCACAACCUACUUCUCCAAGGUGGCCCUUGAGCUGAUCACAGAUCUUGCCGAUGAACUGAUGGGGUACCACGAAGAUCAGGAUGUCAGCAUCCACUGCAGCCUGGACCACAUCUGGGACAGCCACCUGUGGGGGUGACCAGUGUUCAUGGGCCUGACGGACUGCUUCUAGCCCCUGUGGAGCCCCAUGCAGGAGAUCUAGGAGACAGGGUGAGGCUGGUGGGGAAGAAGGAGGGCAGUUUGGGGGUUGAAUCUGGAAGGGCUGAACCUGGAGGAACAAGACACUUCUAUUCCUUCCGCCUAGCCAUCAUUCCCUCUAGGUUCCAGCUGUCCUGGGUUCUUGAGGACUCCUGGAAACCUCCUCUCAGCACUCUCCUAGCCCUUGGCUGUGGGAUAGUGAGGGAGGCCAAAGGAGGUCUGGGCUUGGCAAGAGGAAGAGGCCAAGUAAGAUUUCAUCACCCUGCUCCUUAGGGCUCCCAACUGGGAAGGGAGAGCCCCAGUCUUCCUGCUGUCUUUCCUGCUCCCCCUUUCCAGGUGGGGAGUAAGCCACAUGGAUCUGACCAAAGACCUUAAGUCCAAGGAGCAGUCUCCACAUCUACUAAUAACCCAGUGAAUGAGUAACAGGGUUAUAGCCCGAGGCAGGCACUACCCAGACUCCAAGUCUGGGGGCCAGAGAACCUGUCUUUGGUUGCCACAGAGACCAACUUCCUCAUCCUCUCCCCGUCCCUCUCCUGCCUGGAAGCCCACGGGGUGGGGUGGAGAUGCAUUCAGGUUCUCCCCAGUCCCAGGAAGUGCUCAGGGGAGCAGUUUGGGGGCUGUGCCCAGGGACGCCCUGUGCCUGGAGUAGCCCUCCUGAGAUGCUUCUCAAGUACAGGUGGCACGUGAAGUGGCCCCCUCCCAGCAGGAAGCACCCCCUCCACUUCCCUCUCCCUUCUUAUGGGGCAUUGGGGCUCACCACAUUGGGGGGCAACUUGUGCCCUGGCAGGUAUUUGACAUUCUCAUGCUGUGUGUUGAUGACCUCUGUCAGCUUUCUGCCCCCGACGUCUUCCUCAAACACCCACAUGGUCACCCGUGGGUCAAAGCGUGCCAGCUGGGCUGCGUUGCCACCCACAAUCUUGGCGAUGGCUGAGCCCCUGGCAGGAGGGGGAGCACAGAAAGUGGAGGAGCGGGGGCGUGAGAGAGGAACAGUGGCGGGAGGGGACAGUGCUCCCCCUCAGGAUGUCACAGAAGCCACUGGAUUAUUUACCUGCCACCUUCCUUGUCACCCCCUCCCCGUGACGCUGCGUCUCUCCUGACCUAGCAGUAGAAAGGAGACUCAGUUUCCUUUCCCUCACACUUUGCUGCUGGAGAAGGGGGCCAGCCUCUUGAUCUCCCCCCCACCCCCUAACCCAGGCAGCCUUUCAGGCAGGGAGCACUCUGGAGGCUCCCUUCCCGUGGCGAACAGGUGCUGCUGCCCGAGACGCAAGGGCCAGGAGCGGUCUGGGCAUUGUCUGUCCUGCCGGGGUAGGCAGAGAAGACAGCAACAGGGGUGGGCCAGAAGCUGGAGGCAUUUCCUCCCCACCGACUGCCUCCUGCCCACCAAACCUCCCUCCCUAACCUCCUGUAUACUUGAGGGAGCCUCCCCCUCCCCCCCCCCCCCCAGUACUCCUUGACAGAGCCGCUUACCAGUUACCAGAGCCUACAAUGCACACUUUCUUGCCGGCCAUGGUGCCGCUUCGCUGCCUGGGCCACCAGCUGGGUGCCACUCUCCCCAGCUCCUCUGCCGGCUGGGAGCAUAUAACUCCAACACACGUGGGUGCCGCCAAGCCCCGCCCUCCAGGGGAGGGGAGGCGGGCGCCCAGGGAGACAGAGUCUGGCAGGGCCAGGGAAAGGGAAGAAAAGGGUAGAGACAGGUGGGGAACAGGAAUGGGGCCGAGACCAGGCCUGCUUUUCCUCUUAGGUUUGCCCGCUGACGGUGCUGGCACGCUGCUUCCCUCGGCCCCAGCCCAGGUCCUCAACCCCUCCCUCUCCGCAAUGGUUUCAUUUUAAGUUCUGCCAAGACCGGGCCCAGAUAAGGAGCGAGUGCCCGGUCCCCCCCCACUCCCGUCCCCUAGCACUGGAAUAAAUUGUAUUCAGUCCCAGCAGCAGAUCCAGGCAUGCCUUCUUUUCCAAGGUAGGAACCGCCCCACUUGUGCCCCCCAGGACCCGGAAAGCUGCUCUAUGGGUUCAUCCUCUGGCGAUGACGGGUCACGUGUUGCCCCACUGCAGGGCUGUGGGUGAGUGAGGUGGGUGGGUGUGGCUCCUUUAAAUAAGAGCACAUAAGAGGUAAGGACCUGCUCUGGGGGCAACCCAGCCCAAGGAUAAGACCCCAAGAGCCCAAGAAACAAAGCACACCAGUGGGCCUCUCCUCACCUGAAUGUUUCCCAGGAAGGGGGGCAGGAAAGCCCAAAGUUGGAGGCUCUGAUGCCAAGUGGCCCACAGGUGUUUUGCAGACUCUGGGCUUGAGGAGGAGGAUAGGAGAGAAAAGAAGGCAGCCCAAGUGUUCACUGUCCUUGAGAGGUACUGAGCUUCCUUCACUUCUUUCUUGGGUUUCCAGGCUAACCCCACACUAGGGGCGCCUUCAGGUUAGUGGCUAGUUUGCAGAAGCCAGAAGGGAAGGGAGGCAGGACCUGGGGCAGUUGUGACCUCUGUAGAGCUUUGUGGUCUCAGAUGCUGUAAUCAAGAGCAAGUGGGGUGUGCGCUUCUGGGGGGAGGGAGGAUGGAAGGGACGCACAGUGCAGUUCAGGGCUCUGCAUCGCCCACAGCAACCUGUUUAACUACGAGGGGGAACUCUAGUUUCUAGGCUGAUGUGGAGAGUGGGGCAAAGGCCCCUUACACUCCAGCUGUCUGUGCACCUUGGCCUGGAAAGCAGAUAGCACUGUGUGCUCACGUGCUGACCUCCUGGCCGGGCCAACUGCUGAGUGGGUGUUUCCAUCCCCCUGGGCUGCUGCUGGCUGCAAACAGUGAUAAGCACUGGGCCAGAGGGGAGUUUGUGUGCAAUCACUGGGUAAGGGUUAAGUGGCCCUGAGGUCAAGACUGGGGAGAAAUGGUUUCCUAACUUCUAAGGACUGCCUGGGAAAAAGCCCACCAUACUCUACUCCCAUGGCCAGGGAGUUCCCUUAGGGGAACAUACGUGAAAUCAGCAGUUGAUUGCUUCUCUUAGGAACAAAAUUAUGCCUACUACAGAGCCAGCCCCCCCAACGACCACUGUUAUUGCACUGGCACUGCGACAAAGGCACCAGUGCCAGGCUGCCGGCUGGGACCACUGAUUAUGGGUGAUGGAAGAGAAAGAAUGCUUCUGUCCCUGGCACACAGGAUGAGAACCCCAAAGAACGGAUGUUUGUGCAUAAAAUAACCUCUUGUGUUUGCCUAAAUGCUUCCAUCUUUUUGUCCCUACGAUCAUUUAAAGUAGUACGGAGACAAAGAAUUUGUUCAUUUAUAUAGGAAUAAAGAGUGUGCAGAGAUUCAGAACUGGCCUGUCACAGGCCAAUUAUCUGUACCACUAGGGCUCUUUUCCCAAGAGCAAACUGCAGAUUUGCUUGAAAUUAAUAAUGGUUCAUCAGCCGUUCAUUACACAUGUAAUUAGCCUGGGUGAAAACAGAUGCCAUUUCAAUGUCCUUGACAUCAAUUGUUUCCACUCCCAAGUUAUCAUCACCCACACACACUCUUCUGCUUUCCCCACUCAAGUCUGAUAAACUCCCACAUUCCAGAUUGGGAAUAGUGGUUGUAUCCUUGGUGGGUUUGACUGCAUAUACGCAAUACUUGAGUGUUCACAUGCAUGGAGGCAAAAGUUAAUUUUUUAACUACAACUUUGGAAUGUAGUUGCCUUCACCCUGUGUUCUAAACCCCCUUCUUGAGUAGAACCAAGCUAGAUAAUGGCACAAAGGAGGAAAGUAAAGAACUACCAGGUGGGAAGCAGGCAUAUGAUGGAAACUGCAGCAGAAUUUCAUGCUUCUGCUAAUGGGACCCAAUCCUGAGCAAAGUCUUCUCAACUCUACCAGUGAAGGCUCGGUUGUCCAUAGCACGAGGAUGACAGUGCAGCACUUCCACGCCAGUCUCAGGAACUAAAAUCUUACUCGGGGUUGAGAAAGUGGAACCUUAAAGAAUGGCAGGCACACAGACCACAAACGUCUUCAGUCCUCACACAGCGCUGGCCCGCAGGAAGACAGGAGCCCUGGGAAUCCUAGAGGAGGCUCAAGUUCAUCAAGUGUAAGGGACCACAGGUACCCAAGGACAGCACCCUCGAGCCAGCAGGUGCCCUGGGGAGUUCAGAAGGACAAGGGAGAGAAUGGCAGUGCCACUGUCUUGUUAGAAUCUUCCUUAACGGGAACUGAGGACAGGACUCUCAGAUCCAGUGAUGAAGCCCACUACUCCCAACCAGCACCUGGCCUGCUUGGAGCACUGGGGCUGACAGAACAAGCUCUAAGGUGAGAACCUGAGGUCCCCAGGGUAGAAAUCUUGUUUUUCACCAUAUCCCCAGUGCCUAGAACCACAGCUGGCAUACAGCAGGUGCUCAACAAAUAUCUGUCAAAUAAAAUGAACAAACACCAUGAGCAUGGCUAAUGGUAUCGAAGAAGAAAGCUCAGGGAAGAGCUCUCCAUCAGUAGGUAGGGGGACCCAUCCUUCAGAAGAUUCUUUUAUUAAAACUGGGUGACAUCGAUAAGGAGACAGUACAAAAAAAAUUUUGGUCCAUGAAAAAAACAUAGUAA